AACAAAGGGAAAAAUAAGUGAUGGAGAAUGUUCUAAAUGGAAUUUAAAAAACAAUUUGCUUCAUUAACUUUAACGGCAGUUUUCAGUUCCACAAUAGUGUGGAGAAAUUAUUGGAACGGAAGGCGAAUGCUUUCCUUAAGGAAACAGAGCAUGAUACAAAAGAUGGCUAUAGGGAAUCAUAUAGCUGCAAAAUUAUAGCGUUCCCACUGAAGGAGAGCAAUGAAGCGUAAGAGAUCACUGCAUAUGGGUAACGAGGGAGAACACAAACAAAGAAGAAUGCUGCACAUUUUCUCAGUCCGCACACCUUACAUUCAAGGCCAAUGAAACCAGGUUCUGAUAGCGUUAAAGAUCCAUCCCUAGCGAUGCGGUAUAGCAGAUCAUAAAGAAUAAGUCAUGUGUGGAUGGAAAUCCAGGGCUAAAUCAGGCCUGAUUUGUGGCUACCUAGAUGGAGCCUGAGUGUAAUAAACUCAUCAUGGCCUCCAUUAACAAGGCUAAAUUCUAUAACCACAUCGGAGUAACCAGAACAGUUUCUGGAUUGAAGUCGUUCGUCACUGUCUGGGACAUACCCAUACCCUUGUUUAAGAUUUCCGUCCGCUGAGUGAAUAUUUGCAUGGGAGGAAGUUUUGCCACAGUGUCUGUUAGAUUUUAAUAAAGUAAUCACUGCUUAGGAUGCCCUCAGAUCGACUCCUAGAGUUGUUCUUCUUCUGUAAAGAUUAUGUGAAGGUUUUUGUAUUUAAGCCACGAAAAUAUGAUUAGAAACAGAGGGCCGAAAAAAAUGUUUCUGAGGCACUGUUAAAUUUCUGUUUAAUCUUUUAUUUUUGGUAUGGUAAAGGUAAGAGAACAAGGGUAUUGCUUUA